rnacentral:rRNA from 1 species
UACAGAGGUCUCAAGCGUUGUUCGGAUUCAUUGGGCGUAAAGGGCGCGUAGGCGGCGGGGUAAGUCGGGUGUGAAAUCUCAGAGCUCAACUCUGAAAUGGCACUUGAUACUGCUCUGCUAGAGGAGUGGAGAGGAGAUUGGAAUUCACGGUGUAGCAGUGAAAUGCGUAGAUAUCGUGAGGAAGACCGGUGGCGAAGGCGGAUCUCUGGACAGUUCCUGACGCUGAGGCGCGAAGG